UACGGAGGGAGCUAGCGUUGUUCGGAAUUACUGGGCGUAAAGCGCACGUAGGCGGCGAUUCAAGUCAGAGGUGAAAGCCCGGGGCCUCAACUCCGGAACUGCCUUUGAAACUAGAUUGCUAGAAUCUUGGAGAGGCGAGUGGAAUUCCGAGUGUAGAGGUGAAAUUCGUAGAUAUUCGGAAGAACACCAGUGGCGAAGGCGACUCGCUGGCCCGGUACUGAACACUGAGGUGCGAAAGCGUGGG
rnacentral:rRNA from 1 species